AUACGGAGGGUGCAAGCGUUAUUCGGAAUCACUGGGCGUAAAGGACGCGUAGGCGGGUUGGCAAGUCAGAUGUGAAAUCCUACAGCUUAACUGUAGAACUGCAUUUGAAACUGCUAACCUAGAGUAUGGGAGGGGGAGAUGGAAUUAGUGGUGUAGGGGUAAAAUCCGUAGAUAUCACUAGGAAUACCGUAAGCGAAGGCGAUCUCCUGGAACAUAACUGACGCUAAGGCGUGAAAGCGUGGGGAGCAAACAGGAUUAGAAACCCUAGUAGUCC
rnacentral:rRNA from 1 species